rnacentral:rRNA from 1 species
GACGAACGCUGGCGGCGUGCUUAACACAUGCAAGUCGAACGGAAAGGCCUCUUUCGGGGGGUACUCGAGUGGCGAACGGGUGAGUAACACGUGAGUAACCUGCCCUUGACUUUGGGAUAACUUCAGGAAACUGGGGCUAAUACCGGAUAGGAGCUCCUGCUGCAUGGGGGGGGUUGGAAAGUUUCGGCGGUUGGGGAUGGACUCGCGGCUUAUCAGCUUGUUGGUGGGGUAGAGGCUUACCAAGGCUUUGACGGGUAGCCGGCCUGAGAGGGUGACCGGCCACAUUGGGACUGAGAUACGGCCCAGACUCCUACGGGAGGCAGCAGUGGGGAAUAUUGUACAAUGGGUGGAAGCCUGAUGCAGCAACGCCGUGUGCGGGAUGACGGCCUUCGGGUUGUAAACCGCUUUCGCUCAUGACGAAGCUUUGUGUGACGGUAGUGGGUAAAGAAGCACCGGCUAACUACGUG